rnacentral:rRNA from 1 species
CGCGUAGGAAUCUACCUAGGUGUGGGGAGUAACAUGGAGAAAUUACAUGCUAAUACCGCCAUACGCCCCACCGGGUAAAGGAAGGGCCGUCUUCUUGAAAGACUCUUGCAUUUAGUAUGAGCCUGCGUCGGAUUAGCUUGUUGGCGGGGUAAGUGGCCCACCAAGGCGACGAUCCGUAGCUGGUCUGAGAGGAUGAUCAGCCACACUGGGACUGAGACACGGCCCAGACUCCUACGGGAGGCAGCAGUGGGGAAGUAUUGGACAAUGGGCGCAAGCCUGAUCCAGCAAUACCUCGUGUGU